UCUGCUCUAAUUUUUUCAAGCAUGCAUGCAAGUCUGUCAGUGUAUGUAACUUAUAAAGCUUUGAAAAUGUAUUGUUCGUUGAUGUUAUUCCUUAUUAAUUUUCCCUAGCAUAAACCAGACUUUAUAUGUAAAUGUGCUUCUGGAGUAUUUAUCGACCAAGAUUGUUUGUUGUGCACUUAUGUCAGCAUCUAGAUCAUAAAUCUAUAACAUUGCAUCUCGUUGAACAGCAUCGUAUGUGCUAUUUUCUGGCAUAACCUUUGAUGUUAAUGCUCAUAAAACAACAAAGAAACAUUAUACUUCGAGAAAGAGGAUGGCAAAUUGUACCGAAUGUUCCAAACAGAAUGAAAAUUAGACCAUGUGUUCGUUUUUGAUUGCAUCCACAAAUUUAGUUGUUUUGGGCAAAACUACAAGCUUAUUUCUCAGAUUGUAGUAUGUUUUGCACCAAAUUCUAAGAGAGUGAGCGCUUCAUUUCUUUGAGAAGCAAAACCUGGACUAAGGAUUGCAAGUUGUUUAUUUAUUCCUAGCAUUUUCUACAAUCUUCUAUUUUGCUGCCGAUCAUCUCUUGCAAGUUAACAAGAACACUAUUACUUUGUUAACAAAUAUCCAUUCAUUUUCUUCUUGGCUAAUGUUUAUUUGUUCUGAAGCUCCAUGCAUAUACAUACCCGUAGUUACAAAAUGAUUUCUCUGUCGGAAUUGCAUAUGCAUAUCAACAUAUUGUUUAUUUCAACACAACCUUAUGCCCCUAGGAUGUGCUUUAUUGAUGCUACUUAUUGUUUCCUAUACUCUAAUCAGUAAAUAUGAAAUUCUCAGUGAACCAUAAUCAGUUUUAUUUACACUGUAGGUAGCUCAAGCCUAAGAUGCAAACAUCUCUAGGAAUGGAGUUGCUGACGGUAUGCAAAGAAUGAGACAAUGGUGAUGGUCAGGAUCGAUGUGUCAAGCAUCUGAGACAUAUCGACGUCAAGACAUGGAAGAGGGCUCUCUGCCCUUAUAGAUAGGCCUUCUUACCAUGCUGCAUUACUAACCUGCACAAUUAAUGUGUAUCGAAAUUAACUUUGGAAGAACAUUAAGCAUGCAAACAUAGCUGUGGAGAAUCCUUGGAACAUCUUACCUGCAAUGUUAACUUAAACCUUCUGGAUCAGCAAAUGCUUCAUCCUUCUCUUCAAAUGUAAAUUCUACUGCCCAGAACAAACCAGUUUAAGAGUUACGGGAAGCUUGUCUUCUUGAGCAUUCUGAAAA
rnacentral:lncRNA from 1 species